GAUGAACGCUGGCGGCGUGCCUAAUACAUGCAAGUCGAGCGAACAGACGAGGAGCUUGCUCCUCUGACGUUAGCGGCGGACGGGUGAGUAACACGUGGAUAACCUACCUAUAAGACUGGGAUAACUUCGGGAAACCGGAGCUAAUACCGGAUAAUAUAUUGAACCGCAUGGUUCAAUAGUGAAAGACGGUUUUGCUGUCACUUAUAGAUGGAUCCGCGCCGCAUUAGCUAGUUGGUAAGGUAACGGCUUACCAAGGCGACGAUGCGUAGCCGACCUGAGAGGGUGAUCGGCCACCAUGGAACUGAGACACGGUCCAGAAUCCUACGGGAGGCAGCAGUAGGGAAUCUUCCGCAAUGGGCGAAAGCCUGACGGAGCAACGCCGCGUGAGUGAUGAAGGUCUUCGGAUCGUAAAACUCUGUUAUUAGGGAAGAACAAAUGUGUAAGUAACUAUGCACGUCUUGACGGUACCUAAUCAGAAAGCCACGGCUAACUACGUG
rnacentral:rRNA from 1 species